AAUAACCAAAUAUAGCACUUGGGUUAAGAGUCAGGUUCAUAAUUUUUCUUACAUCUCCACCGCUGGGAGCCCAAGUAUCAUAUACACCUCCAAAAUACAAAGCCUUGAGCACUGGAAGAAAAGCACCAACACCUA
rfam:Picea glauca, whole genome shotgun sequence.